UCCGUGUUGGCCACGGCGGUCUCGCGUGAAAAGCAACACGCGAUAAGGGUUGCGCUCGUUACCCCACUGAAGGGAACACUUCAAAGCACGAGCUGACGGCAACCAUGCAGCACCUGCCUGGCACCCUCGAAGGCGGCCUUCUUUUCAGAAGGCGUGCAGCCAGGUUUCAAGCCCUGGUAAGGUUCCUCGCUUAGCGUCGAAUUGAACCACACGCUCCACCGCUUGUGCGGGCCCCCGUCUAUUCCUUUGAGUUUUAAGCUUGCGCUCGUACUACCCAGGCGGCUGACUUAACGCGUUAGCUUCGACACUGAAGGGGUCGAAUCCUCCAAUGCCUAGUCAGCAUCGUUUACGGCGUGGAAUAC
rnacentral:misc_RNA from 1 species